GACGAACCGUGCGAACGUUAUUCGGAAUCACUGGGCUUAAAGCGCGUGUAGGCGGGACGGCACGUCGGUCGCUGAAAUCCCCCGGCUCAACCGGGGAACGGGCGCCGAUACGACCGCCCUGGAGGGACGUAGGGGGACCUGGAACUUCCGGUGGAGCGGUGAAAUGCGUUGAGAUCGGAAGGAACGCCCGUGGCGAAAGCGGCUCUCUGGAACGCAACUGACGCUGAGACGCGAAAGCGUGGGGAGCAAACAGG
rnacentral:rRNA from 1 species